ACGGAGGGUGCGAGCGUUAAUCGGAAUGACUGGGCGUAAAGGGUGCGUAGGUGGUUUAUUAAGUUGUUGGUGAAAUCUCCGGGCUUAACCUGGGGUUGACGAAUAAAACUGAUGAACUCGAGUAUAGGAGAGGGUAGUGGAAUUUCCGGUGUAGCGGUGAAAUGCGUAGAGAUCGGAAGGAACACCAGUUGCGAAGGCGGCUACCUGGCCUGGUACUGACACUGAGGCACGAAAGCGUGGGGAGCAAACAGG
rnacentral:rRNA from 1 species